rnacentral:rRNA from 1 species
GAUGAACGCUGGCGGCGUGCCUAAUACAUGCAAGUCGAACGGGUGUAGCAAUACAUUAGUGGCGAACGGGUGAGUAACACGUUGGUGACCUGCCCUAAAGAGGGGAAUACCACUUCGAAAGGAGUGACAAAACCGCAUACGCUUUUGGAAGUUAGAGAACCAAAAGGAAAAGUGAGAACUACUUUAGGAGGGGCCUGCGGCCCAUCAGCUAGUUGGUGAGGGUAAAAGCCCACCAAGGCGAAGACGGGUAGGGGACCUGAGAGGGUGAUCCCCCACAAUGGAACUGAAACACGGUCCAUACACCUGCGGGUGGCAGCAGUAGGGAAUAUUGCUUAAUGGGCGAAAGCCUGAAGCAGCAACGCCGCGUGAACGAAGAAGGCCUUCGGGUCGUAAAGUUCUUUUAGGUGGGAUGAGGAAGGACAGUACCACCAGAAUAAGUCUCGGCUAACUACGUG